CAGCCAGAGAAGGUGACUGCAAUGGUUGCUUCUGCGAUAGCCGUGCCAAACUUGCCUGCUCUGUGAAAACAGCUCGCCGCCUCUUUACCUACGGUUUGCCGGGGACGGGCAGGCGGGCGGGCGGAGGUGGUGGCGCUGGGGAAGUGGGGAGCUAAUUUCCCUCAGCGACCGUGAGAGCCAAGCCGCUGUCUGGAGAAUGAGAGUCGGCGGCAGAAAACUUUGAAAAGAAUAUCACGGCGGAGAAAAACAGCUGCGCGGCUGAACUUCCACCAGCAGCCCGAGGGGACCGGGAGGAGGAGUCAACAGGUCCCAGAGCUUAGGAGCUGCAAUCGAUUCAAGGGGAGAUUUCCUUGGCCAAGGACAGGGAGAUUGACGUUUUUGGGGUAAGCCCGAAUUUGUCACUCCUGUCAACUCUGGAUAAUUGGACUUCUACACACACUUGUGUCUAAGAGGGGCUCGUCCGAGCAAUCGAUGCGGGCAGUCCACCAGCCGGAAGCACAGUUGGCCAUACAGCACACCACUCAAUCAGUCUGAACAGCAACACACAGAGCUGCAGGCGACCAACAGAGGUAGACACACUCUUUAUAUGCAGCAGUAUAUCCUGAGCUGAACUCAUUUUAUAAAUAAUGUACGCAUCCUGCAAGACAAGUAAAUGUUACACGCCACACAUACGCAGAGUUUUUUUAAUGUCAAAACAAAGCAGACUGAAUCAACAACAACUUUUUAAAAUAGCACAGACUGGCCGGAGCGAUUUUUGGCUCACG